UUCCGUCAAAAACUCUGGUUUUAGUGAACAUCAUUUGUGCGUUUAGGGGCAUCGUCACUUCUGUUCUAAUGUUGAGCGAGUGGUUGGAAAAACUAUAAUACUUUAUUGCACCAAUUAUUCGGCAAAUUAAAUUCUCAUAAUUGAUAAUCAGCACUGCUGUCAUUAAGGAAUUUUGAUUAAGUACUUACAAAACAAAAUUUAUUUCUAG
rnacentral:lncRNA from 1 species